UACAGAGGUCCCAAGCGUUGUUCGGAUUCACUGGGCGUAAAGGGUGCGUAGGUGGCGGGGUAAGUCGGCUGUGAAAGCUCGGAGCUCAACUCCGAAAUGGCAUUGGAAACUACCUUGCUCGAGGGUUGGAGGGGGGACUGGAAUGCUUGGUGUAGCAGUGAAAUGCGUAGAUAUCAAGCGGAACACCAGUGGCGAAGGCGAGUCCCUGGACAACUCCUGACACUGAGGCACGAAAGCUAGGGGAGCAAACAGG
rnacentral:rRNA from 1 species